AAAACGCCAAUAAGGAUAAAAGUCCUCUACUUAAACUACUAAAGCAUCUAUUAGUGCUGUAGCCCAAUUUGUCCUACUUUAUCUAGGACUGUCUUUAUAUAGAACUCCAUGCUGUUCAAGAUCAAAAUCAAGCUCACUUUGACUUUGGCACAAAUAACCAGUCUUAAUAAAACUAGAACUCACAAAUGAACCACCAACUCUACUUAUUGUGAAGUUUGUGCUAAUGACUGUCUGUCCCCCUUGGUGUUUGUUCUGUAAUCGAUGGUGACUUCUAAUGCACAAUCAUGCUUCUAAUUAUUGCAUUGAUUUGACUAUUAAGUGAGAUAAAAUUUUAAAUUAUUCUAUGAAUUUUACUUGAAUCAUUUCUUCAAAAUAUUCUUGUUAGGGUUUGUUUGGUUGGGGCAUGUGAGAUUAUGGGGUAAUUUGAUGAUUCCUAGGAAUCAUUUAUCUAGAAAAGUAAUUGUGGAAGAAAAUAAAUUUGGCCACAUUUGGUUGGUGGAAAACUACUCAAAAAAAUAGCGUCGGAAAA
rnacentral:lncRNA from 1 species